UUCUAUGGAUGCUGUGAGAGUGAUGCUAACUGCACGCCGAACGGAUAACGAGGCAAGUACUUUGGAGUCAUAUGGAGCAAAAAAAGGAGAAAUUAGCCGUUUGGAGUGAAAAGAGCAAAAAGAUCAAUUCACAGGCAUUAUUUGGAGCAAGCUAGGUGGUGCAAGAGGAGUUAUGCAGGAAAUUAAACUGGCAGUCUCCUAGAAUCACAAUUGAACAACGAAUUAGGCUGUCGGUUCUCUGAAACCAACAAGCCAUGUAUGAGCUUGUUAGCCCUUAAUCAUCAAGAGGGGUGCCAAUAAUAAAUUCAUUUUCCUACACAUAACCCAAAAGUCCGAGAGAUUAGCUUUUAUUUCAUCUCCUCUCCCUGAAACCAAUGGCGGCUCCAUUGCUGUUGUCGAGCGAUUCCACUGAACUGAAAAUUGAGAGAUUAUUGAGAAGAAUUAGGUGAUGGGUUCUUGUGGUUGUUUUUCAAAGGUGAGAAGAAUAAGAACUGGUGCUGUGAUGAUGAGGUUGAACUCGAUUUCAUAGAGGAAGAACAGAAAAUCUAGGGUUUGUGUUUGAUGUUGGUUUGUGAGGAGAUUGAUGACUAUUUGAGAGUUUGUUAAGGAAUAGAAGAUGGGUCUGAGACGAAUUGGGGUUUUGAGAAGUCAGGCAAGUUGAACUGAAAUAAUGAGUGGUUGAGAUGGUGAAUUUGGGUUUCUGAAGCUGAAACCGAAUGGGUUCUGUCAGUGAUGAAAUGGGUUUGGUCGAUGUUGGGGUUUGAAUUAAGGAACAAGGAGAUGAAUUUGCUGUCAAUUUGAAGCUGUGAAGGAAGAUGAUUCAUGAGCUGUUGAGAUCAUUAGGGUUCUAUUUGAGAUGGGUCUAUAGUGUUCGGUGUUGGUGUUGUAAUGUGGGUUGGCUAUGAUUUUCAGCCAAGGAUUUGGACAAGGAUAUUUGGAGUAAUUGGUUUGAGAUGUUGUUGCAGUUACAAAGUGUUGGCUAGAGUGUUACAGGUCAAGAGCUGGACAUGGCCUGGAAAGGGUUCAGCUGGACGGGAAUUGCAAGUGCAGAGCUAAGUUUGAGAAGAACUGGUGAUGCUGUGUUGCAGAGAGAACUUAAAUGGGAAAUGCAGACAAGAUAAAAUCGCUAGGCAGUGAUGCUUAUGUAUUGCAGCUGCAGCAGCUGCAGUUGAGCGUCUGAGAUGCUGCGAGGAAUGUGUUGCCAGGGUUUUGAGUUCGGAGAUUGAAUGGGUCUUGUGGAUGAGUCAGGUGAAGUAUUGGUUGGUUGCUAUGAAGAAUGGAAGGCUAAAGCUGCAGUUGCACAGUUGCAGGAACAAGGCUCGAGGCCUUGUUGCAGUUGAGAAUGGCAGCUGAGCUGCAAGUGCUGGUUGCAGUGCAACUGGUGCUGGUGGGUUGUGUUGCAGGAAUGGAGAUGGAGAAUGGCAGGAUAUGGCUUUGGAGGUGCGCUUACUGAUUGCAGAGAGAUAUGGCCUUGUGAACUGUAGAAGGCAGUGAUGCAGAAUAAUGAAUUUGAAUGUGUAUGGGGUGCUGCUCAGAUGGCAAGAGAACACGAAAACAAGGAAUGUGUUGAUGCUGAAAGCAGGAUGAGCUGGUAACAGCAAUGCAUGAAGAAGGCUUAUGAGACCAAUGAAAAUGGAGAGUAUAUGAAGUUGCUACUGCUAAAUGAUUCUGGUGGUGUCUGCAGCUGAGAAAGAACCAAGAAGUGUGAAGUGCUGUGAUUUCAAGUUGACAAGAGCUUUGUAUUGCUGUUGCUUUGAAUGAGUUGCAGAAGGUUCAAAUGGUACAUGAAUUGAUAUAGAUGUAUGCUAGGAGCUGAAGCUGUGCAGGGGAAGCUGCUACUACAACCUGGUGGUGCGGAAGAAACAAUGAAGAGCUGGUGGGCUGGAGGAACUGAAUUGCAAAUGUGGAGCUGGCGAUGUAGCUGCAGUUUGGUUGGUAGAAUGGGUCUUAGCUGAAAGUGUUGGCGAGGCAAUUGAAGCAGAAAAGAACGGACUGGUGGUCUGCAAUUGGAGCUAUUGAGUUACAGGGAAGAUGAGAUGAAGUUCAGAAGAAUGCAAAUAUAAAGAAAGGAGGAAGCUGUGAGAUCGGUGCAGCUAUAGAAACUGAGAUUGUGAGCUCGAGAUGGAUGAGGAUGUUGUUAAUGUCUACAGAUGGCAGUGGACUGCAGCAGCUGGAGUUACAGUGAAGCCGCGGACUUGGUGUUGCUGCCAGCUGAAACUGAGGCUGAGCUGACGUCCUGUAGCAGAAGGAUGAAAUGGUAUUGCAGUGAAGGCAAUAUGGUGGAUUGCCUACUGGUGGUGCUGUUGUCGCAGUGAUUGUUGCAGUCAUGAUGAAGCUGACUUGGAAUUGCAGGUGGAAUUGAAGCUAAAACAGAUGGAGUUUGCAGCUGUGCUUUGGUGGUGUUGCUGUUUUGGGCAUGGGCUGUAAUGGAAUUGGCUAUAUGGUGGCAUUACAGUUGAACUGGAGACGUAACGGCUUGAUUGAAUGUACAGGGAAGAGCAGUACCAGGAAAGGAGAUGCUGCUGUUCGCUGUUGGCGCAGCCAUGAACAGAAUUGCAAUGGAGUUGCAGCUGAAAUUGUCGUGACUGAAUGGAAUGUGAAUGAAUCGGGUAGUCUCUGAUUCGGUCGAGUCGACUCACCGAUCCAGGUCUGACUCUGUAUUUGGACUGUGUUUGACUGGGCUUUGCUAUUGGGCAGCAGAGACUCAGUUUGGUAAUGGGCUAAGCUAGUACGUGAAUUGAAGGAGAAGAGGAAGUCUAUAAAAGGUUUGGUGAACACCACAGAUGGAGGAUAUUAUCUUCUCUUCUACUUUUGGUUCUAGGGUUAAAAACAUGAGUUUUCUUUUUCUCCUUCUUAUGAACUCCUAUGCCAUCGGUACUUAAUUUUAUUAUUGGUUAAGGAAUAAGUUGGAUUU